AUGGGCGCUCUGAUAGAGCUCAUGAUGCCAAUAACUUGCAGAUACACCAAGGUUUAUGCAAUUGUCCAGACAUUGGUUUAUUGUGAUGUAUUGUAUACUAUGGUUCCAGCAUAUGACCAAAUGAGAGGGAUUGACAAUACAUUAUAUUUUCAUGCAAUCGCUACAAGAACAUUAUAUCGGAUCAUCUCAAUCACGUACAGUCCUACCCAACAUUUUAUGUUGCUGCAUGUUGACUACACCAGUCCGAGCCAAGCUGCAGGAGUUGUAUGGUACCUUUCUCUUCCAACGUCGCCAGACAAGUGA
rnacentral:rRNA from 1 species